CUCUGCUGCUGUGCAGGUACCACCUCUGAUCACUUCCUUCUCCCCUUCCUCUGCUGAACCAUCAUUCAGCUGAUGCACCUGCAGGACAGUGAGGAGAAAAUGAAGUGAAGUUGCAAGCCAGGACAACCUUGGAACUGGGACAGGACAAGGAGCUUUUUGCCCUUCACACUCCUGACUUUGCUGCUGUGGUUCCAGGCCAGCUCCAGGACUGUGGAAGAAAGGCUCCUCCUGCUGCCCUGGCUGCUGGUGACCUGGCAGGGCACAUGGAGCUGCUGGCUGCCACAGCACCAGAGAGAGCAGGGAAGGAUGUGACAGCUUCACAAGCCGAGGUGGAAGGAGCAGAAAAAGCAGCUGCAAUGCCAGAGGGAGAAAGCCUGGUGGGAACAGGUCUGGGGGGGAAGGUGGUCACUCCUGAAGGAACAGCGGCGAUUGUGGUGGGAGCAUCAGAAAACCCAGCAGCAGAAAGAGUUGCUGAAGCAUUUGCCAGGGCAGCAGAAAGAAUUGCAGUAUCAGAAGUAGCCAAGGUGUUGCAGUCAGCAAUAGCUGAGCUCAAAGGGAAGAGGAAGAACAUGUGGAUAAAGCCAAGGAACACCACUCAGCAGGAAGAGGAUUGGAUGAAAGAGGGAGAGGUGAAAUGAAAUGGAGAGGUGAUGUUCUGGGUCAUACCUCCUAAUUGGGGGCUUGUACCAGCACUCCUGGAAUGCAGUAGGGCUGCCAACCA